rnacentral:rRNA from 1 species
CCUCAGUAGUUAGAUAACAAAACUACUCGCCAGAAUACUACGAGCUACAGCUUAAAACUCAAAGGACUUGACGGUGCUUUACACCCCCUAGAGGAGCCUGUUCCGUAAUCGAUAAACCCCGAUCCACCCCACCCUCUCUUGGUCAGCCUAUAUACCGCCAUCUUCAGCAAACCCUAAUGAAGGUCACAAAGUGAGCGCAAACGCCGUCACCGCGAGUACGUUAGGUCAAGGUGUAGCCUAUGAGAUGGUAAAAAAUGGGCUACAUUUUCUACCUCAGAAAAUUCCACGAAAACCCUUAUGAAAUCUAAGGGCCCAAGGAGGAUUUAGCAGUAAAUUAAGAAUAGAGUGCUUAAUUGAACCAGGCCAUAAAGCG